UCGUGUGUGUGUCUGUUGAAACACAUUAUGGGCGGAGAGUGUAAUGAAGUGACCUUAGUACUGUACUCUGGUAUAAGUGUACUGUCAAAGUGGAUGUGAUUCUUCGUGGAAGUUUUUUAAUACCAUUGUUGAUGUUUGAGAAUUUGUUUAUGUCAGUGGUAUUUUAGACGAGAAUUUAAUAUUAAAAGAAAUCCAAAAUAUCAACAGAAUACUCUAGAAAAGUUUGAUAUGUGAGAACCUUGAUGUCGCUCUCAGUGAAGAAUAAUAAAAUAAAUAUAAACUCCAGUGUGUCAUGAGAGUGAGCAUAAAGUGUGUGGUGUUCCCAUAAGUGUUCCUUUAAGUGUGAGUGAACUCUUCUUGAUAAAGUCUUCAAGUGGAUAAGUGGACGUGUUUUAAGAUGCCAGCACCUGAACACGAGCGACGCUACAGAGUGGGCGAGGGUGGCGGGGAGAAGCAGCCAUUCCUCGGGGGGGUGGAGCCAGUGCGUCUCACCCCCUCCUGGGAGAACACCAACCUGCCGAAGGAGGAACUCAACUUCAAGAAUGUUAACACCUUCGAGACGUUUGAGGUCGAUAUGGAGCCUCCCAGGGAUAGG